GUUUUGGUCCUUGAAUGUGAUUUUAGCUGCGAGUAACGUGUCCUCGCUCCUCUCGGGCUCCCUCGGAGGGUUUUCAGAGAGGUUUCAGUGCAUCCAUUUUCUCAGAUCCUCUUCUUCUUUCCGGGUAAGGAUCUGGGGCCCUGCGGUCGACUUGGAGCGCGUAGGCGGCGGCUCAGGCUCUCGGAGGGGUCUGCGCAGUGGCCGAGGGAGCUCCCGGACGGUGGCGGCGGCAGAUCUCCUGGGCUGGACGCCGUGAGGGGAACAAGCGGAUUUUCCCAGCAAGAUCUCCAUGUACAGCUACAUCUUUAGGGCCGCUCGGGUUAAUAUAUGUCGUCAGAGGCUCCUCACGCCAAUCCCGGGGCGGCGGGGGCGGCGCCUCGCACUCUCCGCAAUAAAACUUUUUGAUGUUCUUGUUGCUAAUUGCCGAGGUCCUUUUCCAGGAUUGGCUGCCCCUUCAUAACCAUAAGAUAAUUAAAACGAGGGGGGGGGCAGGGUUAAAAAAACGUUUUUAUCAGCCAGAGGUUAAUGCAAGUGUUUAACAGAUGCUUCAUUAUUAAAAUAUUUUUCCCCAAGUCUCAAAUAUUGAAGAAUCUCAAACCAGGGACACCAGGUCCAACGAAGACCUUGGGCGAUUUCAAAGCGCAGGCACCUCGAUUCCUCGAAUUUGUGGUGUGGCCGGUAUCGGUGUUCCCCUGGUUUAACUAG
rnacentral:lncRNA from 1 species